AAGCAUCCUCGUUCCCAGGGCUUCUCGGCUGCCUGCGUUGCCGUAAGCCCUGGGACAAGCCAAACCGGAACACCACAAAUUCUGGUGUUUUCCGGAAGUAAACGCGCUCUGCUGAAAGCUAAAAUGCUGACUAUGCACUAAUUCUUACUGAGGAGUGGAGACGUGUUGGUGAGCAGAAAAUAUUGGAUUUUUCUUUUGUUUCGAUGUAUUUUCCACCAUCAAGGGAUUAUAUACAGACCACCUAAUGGAAUUAUACAUAUUGGGGGUUUAUAUUUCGUUAUAUCGUUAAUAUUCGUCAAAAUACAACCAUAUUUCGGUCUCGUAUUACAUGUAUCAAUUUUCAUGUAUGAUGUAAACAUGAUCGAGUCGAAAUGUGCUCGAAGUGGCCGCUGUGAUUCGAAACAUCAUGGGUUCUUGUACAGAUGACCUGUUUCAACACGCGCUUGUAAAGUCACUUCAAAAGACUGGACAAAGCCGGACUGGAAAUUAAAGAGAAGUAAUUCGAAUCUUUAUCGUCUAUCGUAUGUAUAUAAAAGGAACAAGAACGACAUAUGACAUGUCUAAACGGCGGCGUGUGUCUGUUUACUGGGUUACAACAACGGCAAUAACAAUGAAUCACCUAACAUUUCAAGAAAAUAUACAUUAUAGAUAGAUGUCAUGCAUGACCCCAUGAGUUUUGGAUUUGAAUUGCUAGAUUUAAAUCUAUAUUAUGUACACAAAAUCAUGCGUGCGUAAAUUUGAGCAAAAAAGCACAAGGUGUUUGUUUGGCC